ensembl:snRNA LOC120094545 U4 spliceosomal RNA
CAGAUUGCACAGUGGCAGUAUCAUAGCCAAUGAGGUUUAUCCAAGGCACGAUUAUUGCUAAUUGAAAACUUUUCCCAGAAUAUGUACUUUUACUUUUUACAGAAUAUGUACACUUCAGAGCUGUCUCCUGGGU